GAAGGUUAGUGAACUUAUUAAUACACGUAUAAAUUUGGAUUAUAAAGAGGAAGUAUACUGCUCCACCUUCA
rnacentral:tRNA from 1 species